rnacentral:misc_RNA from 1 species
AACGCAUAUUGCACUCCUUGGCAUUCCUUGGAGUAUGUCUGUUUCAGUAUCAUAAAAACUCUCGAAUCUUUCAAUUUUUUUGGAGGAAUCGGACCUGGGCUUUUGUAGCACUUUUCUACUAGCCUUAAAUUUAGUCGUGGCCGCAUCUUUUGAAAGAUAUAGGCGUCAUAGUUGACUCUCUGAGUUCAUCUUUCGCUUGAUAUUUUCUUAAAUGCAUUAGACUACGUAAAUUUUUUAUUUCACAUCUUGAUCUGAAAUCAGGCAGGACUACCCGCUGAACUUAA